GUUAUUUGUGCUGUUUGUCUACAUAACAGAAGCUAUAGUAAACAUUUUGAUACUGCCUUAAAAAUUACUAAGUAUUAAAGUUUAUACAUAUAACUUUGUCAUUUUACUUUUUAAACAUUUUCUCAUGUUCCUCUGCAAUUUGCCUAAUUCUCUUUGAGAACUAUCCCACUCUUGAUGUUCAGGCUGCCUCUCAUUUUCAUGGAAUGUCUUCUAAAUCAAAGCAGUGCCUAGGAAAGGCCCAAACGAUCUCAACAGCAGUCCUAGAUAUGGAGAAGAGUAGCGCCAGUGAUCAGGUGGAGAAUUUGAUAACUCUUCCAUUCCCAGAAGUGAUGCUGCAUGGUAUAGUUGUGUAUGUUCCCAGAAAGAAAUACGGUCAUUCCUCACUUAAUAUUGUCAAUAGGCUCUUCGAAGACUGUGACUUUAAGUGAAAUGACUUAUAACAAGAACCAGUUUUUUUACUCAUCAACAAUACAAUGAAAUGAAGUUGAACUAAACCAUGUUAGUCAAGGACCAGCUGCAUGUGAUUUCACUUAAAGUCACAUUUUCUAAGAACCUACUGAUAAUAAUAUUAAGUGAGGAAUUACUGUACUGCUAAGCAAAAUAGAAAACCAGAUUCUAAACCUCAUAUUACUAGUUUUUAAUUCUUUCUUCAUUUUGCUUUUUUACACAUGGAUCAUUGAGAGUUGUCUCGUUGCUGGAGGGACAUAGAGUUAUUCCAGUGUCACAUUAGGAGCAGAAAGCAGAUGGCCCCAGGAGUGAGUGGGGAAGCAGAAAUAACCAGUACAGGCUCCUCCUUCAAGAGAAUCACAUGUGGUUGUAGAUUGAGGGGAAGGGGCCAGUUGAGAGACAAGUGUGAUCCGGAAGGCAAAGGAGACAGUCAAUGGAAGAUGGAAAGAGGGGAGGUUGGGAGGAUUGUGUUUCAAGCUACAAUAUCUGGAGCAUAUUUUACUGAUUAGACAAUUUAUAUGAGUAAUAGAAAAUAGUCCAACUUUUAACAACAUGAGCUGAAACUAAACCAAAGUACUCUUCUUUCCAAGUCAUGAAAAGGAAACCUUAAAUAUAUUUCCAAGAAAUCCUGACCAUAGUCUGUAGAUCUGUUUUUAAAAUAUUUUCCGCUAUCUUCAUUUCUAAGUUUCAAUAUUCCUAGAUUUGGUAGUUUGAGAGAUGUAACUUCAUUUAGGGAAAAUGAUAAUAGGAAUUUUCUAUGUUAGGUUUUGCCCCUUAAAAGUUAAAUGUGUCCUGGGCAGAUGGAGGGAUUUCCUGGUGUGCAUCACUUUCUAGCAUCAGCUCUUCAGGAGCCCACGGGAGGAACCCCUGUAUUAAAGUCAAUGCACCAAAGGCAGCUAGGGCUUCCAUACAGACACCAUGGUCCAAGCCCUCAUGAAAGGGUGAGUUUGUCGGGGAUUUGGGUUCUUGUACACAGAUACAACACGGCCACCAAGGAAGAGUGAGGAAGAUGGGAAGGAGUACCACUUUAUCUCAACGGAGGAGAUGACGAGGAACAUCUCUGCCAAUGAGUUCUUGGAGUUUGGCAGCUACCAAGGCAACAUGUUUGGCACCAAAUUUGAAACAGUGCACCAGAUUCAUAAGCAGAACAAGAUUGCCAUCCUUGACAUUGAGCCCCAGACCCUGAAAAUUGUUCGGACAGCAGAACUUUCACCUUUCAUUGUGUUCAUUGCACCUACUGACCAGGGCACUCAGACAGAAGCCCUGCAGCAGCUGCAGAAGGACUCUGAGGCCAUCCGCAGCCAGUACGCUCACUACUUUGACCUCUCACUGGUCAAUAAUGGUGUUGAUGAAACCCUUAAAAAAUUACAAGAAGCCUUCGACCAAGCGUGCAGUUCUCCACAGUGGGUGCCUGUCUCCUGGGUUUACUAAGCUUGUAGAAUGGGGGAACCCACUGUAUGCCCCUCUCCAGCAUUUGGAAUUCCACCCGCCUUGCUUUAAGACAAACAGGGCUGCUCCAACUAGUUUUGUGUCAGCUUCCAGCUCUCUGCAGCUAUCCUAAUUCAGCCAGUAAGGUUCAGUCUUCUUGCUCAGGCUCCUGAAGGGUUGGGAUUUGAUUCUCCUGAUAGAUGGGGCCCCACUGAUCUGGAUUUGAAAAGGAUUUCUAGAAAUUGGGGGUAAGAAGUACUACCAAAAUGUAACUGCUAAUCAAGGGUGAUGCACAGCAAAAGCAAUGGACCCCAUCCCUCUAAAGCCUGCCCUCCUUUGCCUUCAACUGUAUAUGCUGGGUAUUUCAUUUGUCUUUUUAUUUUGGAGAAAGCGUUUUUAACUGCAACUUUCUAUAAUGCCAAAAUGACACAUCUGUGCAAUAGAAUGAUGUCUGCUCUAGGGAAACCUUCAAAAGCAAUAAAAAUGCUGUGUUGAAAUGCC
rnacentral:sRNA from 1 species